rnacentral:rRNA from 1 species
CCUACGGGAGGCAGCAGCGAGGAAUAUUGCGCAAUGGAGGCAACUCUGACGCAGUAACGCCGCGUGAGGGAGGAAGACCUUCGGGUUGUAAACCUCUUUUCGUCGGGACGAGCGAGGACGGUACCGGCGGAAUCAGUCUCGGCUAACUACGUGCCAGCAGCCGCGGUAAU